AACAGGAUUAGAUACCCUGGUAGUCCACGCCGUAAACGAUGAGUGCUAGGUGUUGGGGGGCUACGCCCCUCAGUGCCGAAGGUAACCCAUUAAGCACUCCGCCUGGGGAGUACGGCCGCAAGGCUGAAACUCAAAGGAAUUGACGGGGGCCCGCACAGGCGGUGGAGCAUGUGGUUUAAUUCGAAGCAACGCGAAGAACCUUACCAGGGCUUGACAUCCCGCUGACCCCUCCAGAGAUGGAGGUUUCCUUCGGGACAGCGGUGACAGGUGGUGCAUGGUUGUCGUCAGCUCGUGUCGUGAGAUGUUGGGUUCAGUCCCGCAACGAGCGCAGCCCUUGUCGUUAGUUGCCAGCAUUUCGGAUGGGUACUCUAACGAGACAGCCGGUGAAAGCCGGAGGAAGGUGGGGAUGACGUCAAAUCAUCAUGCCCCUUAUGUCCUGGGCUACACACGUGCUACAAUGGCUGGUACAAAGGGCAGCGAACCCGCGAGGGGGAGCCAAUCCCAAAAAGCCAGUCUCAGUUCGGAUCGCAGGCUGCAACUCGCCUGCGUGAAGCCGGAAUCGCUAGUAAUCGCGGAUCAGCAUGCCGCGGUGAAUAUGUUCCCGGGCCUUGUACACACCGCCCGUCACACCACGAGAGUUUGCAACACCCGAAGUCGGUGAGGCAACCUUUUAGGAGCCAGCCGCCGAAGGUGGGGCAGAUGAUUGGGGUGAAGUCGUAACAAGGUAACC
rnacentral:rRNA from 1 species